GAGAGAUUGUUGUCCUGUCACCAUGUCAGUAGGCUGUCUCUCUUCCUCCCACUGUCAUGAGUCACAACCCACCGCAGUGGGCCAUCUGCGAACCUAUAAAUUGCAUCAAAACAUUAAGCUAAUUCAAAGGAAGGCAUGGAGUUAAAAAUGUGUUCACAAUGGAACAAAG